AUUGAAAGAUGUUCGUCAAGUAAAAUACGAGGAAAUUGUCUCUAACCGGUAUAUAUAAUCCCUUCAACUGUUUAGAUGAGAUAAAAUGUUCUACUUCAUUGAGAUUCGUGACCCACGUAGUGACCUACGACCCACAGCCCGAGGAUACGUUGCUUGAGCGUUCACGGAUUUGCCUCCGUUCUCGUUCUCUUAAACAAAUUACGAUACAUAGAAAUCCAUCGUAAUGUCAUGAGUGUCGCAUUUAACUGUAACUGCCAGCUGUAUUCGAUCGAUCAUAUGUUUCAGACGCGUAAACACGUAAUUUGUACGUGUCUUGAAUAUUAAUCAGAUCAUUAACGAAGCACGUUUCGACAGAUUUCUUUCGAAUCUGAACGCUGUAACCUUUGAUCUUGUACUUCUUUUUUGCUAUUCGUAAGAAGUUUCAUUUGCGUCAGAACUUCUUGUCAGAGCGCGAAACUUUUAUCGCGUUCAGCUUGUUGAAUACGAUCAACGUACAUACAGCUUCGAACAAAUCGUUUAAUUACCGUGUUAUUCAGUCAUAGUAAACGUUAAUUAUAACAAUUAUUUCGUACGAUUGGACUGAUAUUAUUAAUCAAAUUACAAGCAGAGUAACGUACGACGCGAAGAUUUUGCGACGAGUCAGCCGAUCGUCACGUUCGACGAAACAAUUGUAAAAUUGGAAGAAUUGUUUUUGAAACGGCAAUCUACAACUUGUCGAUUUGUCGUUCGUGAAUCCGUCGAUGUUAUUAAUUACCGAACUAUUGUGCAAGAGAUUCCAGGUAUUCGCACGAGAAACUAACUCGUACUUUGUAAAAUUCGCAAAGUAUGACGGUGGUCUUGCCCGCAUAAUUAGGGUGCACGACUUGCACACGAGCUGCAAGGUUUAUGUACGAUCAUGCGGGACAAUGAUCUUUCACUCUUGGAUCACGUUGCACAACAGCUCGAGACGAGGGAGCGGUCUCUCUCAUAGGCCUCCGAAAAGACCUCCAGCGAGAUGACUCUAAUAUUUGCCGAAGGAUAUACGUACAGCUGUUACGACAGGAUCGAUUUUAUCGCGAAUUUCAAACGAAACAAGGAAUCACGUACGUAUCACGAUUAUCCUUUCGUACGAAGCAUUCUAUGUUUUCUUUUUUUUUUUUUUGCAUUCUUAAUCGAAUCAUCAGAAAAAUUCAGGAGUCCAGAUCUAGAAACUAGUUUAUGUAAGUUUCUACGUAACGGAUCUGGACGUGCGUAAGACGUUUGCUUUACCAGACGCAUAACGAUAAACGUGUCACAAAUCAUAAACUGUUGCAGUUAGCUAAUUAUUCUGUCGUAAAGGAAGCGUUGUUUUUUACGCAAACGAAAAGAACUGAAAAUUGGUAGUAAUUAAUUUCGACCAUUGUGCUGUAUUUCUUUCAAAAUGUCCACGCAACAAAGUUGCACAAUUCGAGGAGGCACAACGAAUUCUACGUAAAAUUAUCGUCCUCCAUGAAUGUUCGUUAAAUUUCUAUGUUUCACUCGAGGCGUUGCUUAAACCUUAGUCAAUUCUACCGUCUUGGAUAGAAGCGUGCUUAUUAAUUUGCGGUCACGCAUCGCAUGACAGUUCUAUGAUAUCGUUAAGAAAUGGCUUUAAGGGAUUAUCAACGUGUUCUCGCAACGUACGUCGGACAUCGCAUGGCGCAGGUAGGUGAACGAUAUACGAGGUAUCUAAAACGUAACAAACGAUAGCUCGUGACGAUGGUCUGCUGUUCGCUAAGGAGUGUACGCCUCGAAUUACGCAAGUGAAAUAUCGCUUAUCUGAUGCACGCGUGAUGACGUUACCUGGGUUAGUUGUUGCAGGUGUUACGCGUUAUGUGUCUCUUUUCGUUUCAUCUGACGUGACAGUGUGUAAACAUUUCUUAUACUCCGGAUGGCGAAUAACGCCAUUUCAUUUUUUUUACAGCUGUAUGUACAUUCAGCGUAAAGUACAAUAUUGCCUUGCGGUCUGACUGCGAAUGGGCAUAGACUUAUUAGGCAUUUUCUAUCUGAAAUGGCACUCCAAAUCAACUCACGAAGUUCUAUUUGUUCAUACGAAACUAUAACAUUUUGUUUGAAUACGCUUUAACAACAGUGAAAAAAUUAUAGUUUUUGAUAUAUUAUUUAUAUAAACGAAUUUUUCUAUAGUCUUUCUAUACGGUAAUAUCAAUUUUUCAAAAAACGCAAAAUUCCUUCGUUGACGUAAUUCUUUUAUCUCUAAUAUUUCUCGAGAUAUUUUAAAACGUACGUCUUCGACCCUAAAAUUUGAGUGCUGUUCUCACGUUCGAGAUGCGAGGCAAGAAAAAAUACGUGACGAAUAUUUUUGGUCAGACUAUGAGUCUGUAGAGUUUGAUCAAGAUCGGUUUACUACGGUUGCGACGUUUCUCGCGAGACCGACGAAUUUAAAAAAUCUUCCAGCGAAAUUGUAUUUUCUGGAGGUAUUCGCGUAAUUUUUGAGAAAAUGCAGAUCGUGUUAAAAUCACGAACGGCUAUGUAAAAGCAUGCAGAUCCGCUGAAAACGUGAAAAUGAUUUCAGCAUAGGGCAUUAAUCAUAAGUAGGCACUUACUUUGUCCAUAACAGGGUACUCGCACGCGUAUCGUCGCGAUGGAAGAUUAAUAAGUGGCGUUUUUCUCAACAUUUGUCGUCAAUGACGAUUCAUUAUCAAGCAGAACCAAUCGAAUUUAACCGUUUCGUCUCGGAUUUUUACCAUGCGCCUCGAGUUGUCUCACUAAUUGCACGACUCGUAAAACUCGAAGCAAAUGUGCGAAGCUGCGUCGAGAUCGUAUCCCGUGGAAUCAUCCUCGACAUUUUUCAUUCUACGCUUCGCAACGUGAUUAUGCAAUGUUAACGUCUUCUUCUUUGACAACUCCUCGUUCGUUUGCGACAAAUGGCGCAUAAUGCAGGGCGGUAAACGUAUGAUUUGCAUUCAAAUUAUCGCCGACACCUUCGACGUUCGUGCUUUAUUUUUUUCUUCCUUUUCGCUUGUUCUUUUUCGGACCUUUCUUAUUGUCAAACGCGUCACGUAAAAAGAAAAAAAAAAGGAAUUUAUUUAAAUUUACGUAUGUAAAUGCGCAAGAAGGAAAAGAACGAUAGCUACACUACGCCCUACGUAUCGAAAAUCCUCGCUUCGUCUCUUUCAGUCAGCGUGACUCACUGUACCCAUUCCACGUCCCACAAUGUGAGAAUCGUGAUAAUUGCCAACGUCGAAAUACCGCGUUCCCUUUCGAUUCGCUAAGCCGAAGGACUAAUUGACAAACCAAAGUCAGGCAAAAAAUCGAAGAAAGCGAAAAACAAACAGAAAGAUCAGCACCGCCCGAGCAGAGGAAGAUCGAACGCAAAAGUACACCCAACCGAAAAUGAAAUUAUGUAAAUAACAAUUACGAAACCGAAGGAAUGUACCGACUAAAUAUGUAUAACGCGUCGGGCAACGAUAACGAACGAAUGAAAAUAGCUGUGACAGUGAAGGUGGUAAGUCUGACCCAUGAGUUCAUCAUAUUGAUAUGUUUAUUUGCGUACUUUUCUUUCGUGUAAUACCGAUGUAAUGUAGAGCGAACUGUAAUGGCUUACGUGCUUGCGAAUUUCUUUUUUAGCAUCAUGCGAACAGCCGAAUGCGCAGUCGAAACGCUGCUACAAUCUUGUAAUUUAUGUGGUAAAUAAACAUUCUUUUAUAACAAAAAGACGUGGUAGACUGAUAGAUUCUCGAAUUACUCUAUCACGAAUUCAGAUCUUUCACGAUCAAUAAAUUCUUUUUUUUCUCCCUUUUGUAACUUGUUUUCCGCGGAUGUGCUUAUAUAUUCAUGUUCUUUUAUUUUGUAAUAUCUUCCUUCAGCUUUUUGUUAGUCUUUUUCCUUCUUUUUAAAUUUACUGCCAUUGCGUUACAUUAUAUAAAUACAAUAUACAGGAUGAUUCAGACACAAGUAUUUUCAACAAAAUAUUAUCACAUUAUCCGGCGGACAUACUUGGUGAACGUUAAAAAAAAAUUGACCUAUCGAAUAUUAAUUUUAUCGCGUACCAAGAAUAUCUUCUUUAAAAAAACGUAUCUUCGUUGCAUCUUCUCUGAUUCAGAAUUCGCCGCUGGUUUGUGAAACUUUGGUUGACUUUUCUGAAUUUGACAAUAGGGAAUACAACGUGGCGGAAUAAUUUCUACGGUUGAUGUACGAUCUCCAUCGUCGUGUAUAAAAAUGCUAUUAAAGCGAGCAACGUCCACCCCGUGAACUCAGAAUUAAUAGGAAUUGUAUCGUGUCCACAAUAUGGACUGAUCGCUUUUAAUAUCUUGCCAAAUAAUAAAUAUUGACGAAAAUGGCAAAAUAUGAUUCAUCGAUUAUGAAAAAUGUUAUCAAAAUCGAUGACCCAACGGCUGUGACCUUUCCUUGCGAGAUAACACGCGACGAAGUAAAAUACAUAGAGGAACGACACAGAGGAUUAUAAAUAGGCGUAUCUGCAGCGUGCAGGCUGUCGGAAAAUAAAGUAUUAAAAGAGACAGAACAAGAGCCACAUUAGUCCGAUCGGAGGUUCGAGGCGAGUCAGCGGUCUCGAGUAGGUUGUCGGAGCCUUCAGGGCAGAAUUGCACCAUCCAGAGAGUUAGAUCCCCUUGGGCGAAUCAGCGGCCUUAUUUACCCUUCUACCAACGUGCCGGCGGCUUUCUGAGAUCAACCAACGUCACGUGUAAAACGGAAUACACGCGUGUGCAUACGUAACGCGUAUGCGUAAAAGGCGUUGCACACGCGCCAGACUCUGCGUAUAAAAAUAUUUUUGCCUUUUUGUACCGCCUAACCGUUAGCUCGGUUGUAUGACAUUUUUAUACCACCUGGAGAAACUUACAUCGGGUUAGAAGGAAAUUGGACGCGUACUUGUGCCUGUUAAUCUAAUAACAAAUAGUGAUUUCUUCGUGUCGAUAUACAGUGGCUACAAGAAAUAUUCGUACACCAUUGUGUUUGUCAUAACGCGUGUACAUAUUAAUUAAUUAGAUUCAGAUAUUUAUACGAGUGCACAUUGCCGACAAUGAGAGAAUAGGCAAUAAAGGACAUACAUAGGUAAUGCGUGUUAAUGUUUCAAAUUUAUAUGAAUUAUAUUUAUACGCGGCAAAGUCGUGAAUAUAAUUGUGAUAAAUGAUCGCAGAAUGGAAACUGAUUGGUCGAGGUAUAAAAUGUUCCACGAUGUAAUUUAAUAUAAUUUAACUUCAUUAAAAAGUUGCCACACUCUUUACGUUUAUAAAUUUUUAAAAAUGAGUAUUUGAAGUGUAUAUCACUUUUUCUUUCGCAUAAUGGAAAAACGAAGCAAAAACGAAUGUACGAGAUUGUAUAUAUUAAAGUACCCUUAAAGUGUU